rnacentral:rRNA from 1 species
UAUAGCAUAGUGAUAAUGCAAUAGAUUCCAUUAGAACUUCACAGCUAAGAACGCUCAGGCUAUAGUAGUGCUUCGAUGGGUUACCGCUUGGGAAGUCAUAGUGUUUUAC